rnacentral:lncRNA from 1 species
GGGAAAGGCUCUGUGAGUGACCCAGAACGGAAAGACUCCAGUCUGGGUCCUAAUGCGGGUGGCGUCUCCUUUGACAGGCAACGUUUGGGGACAACAGCGGAGACAAGAGAUAAGGAAUUAUCCGAAGGUAACAAAGUCGGAGAAUUCGAUGCGACUUGCACGUAUCUGUUUGGAAGAAAGUGGUGAGAUCUAGGCUCCUCCGCCACUAGGAGAAAAUUGAAGAAGGGGAGCAACUUCAAAGUCAGGGAACCGGAGCCUUCUUGGUCACCCUCUGCCUCAGCCUUUAAAUCCGACAGCCUUUGGUUGGAGUCCCAGUCCCAGGAGAAGAAAGUUCACCGGUUUUAUAGAAUGCUUUAUGUACAAUAUCUCGUUGGGAUCUUCGCAUCAAU